AGAGUUUGAUCCUGGCUCAGGACGAACGCUGGCGGCGUGCUUAACACAUGCAAGUCGAACGGAAAGGCCCUUCGGGGUACUCGAGUGGCGAACGGGUGAGUAGCACGUGGGUGAUCUGCCCUGCACUCUGGGAUAAGCCUGGGAAACUGGGUCUAAUACCGGAUAGGACCACACACUUCAUGGUGAGUGGUGCAAAGCUUUUGCGGUGUGGGAUGAGCCCGCGGCCUAUCAGCUUGUUGGUGGGGUAAUGGCCCACCAAGGCGACGACGGGUAGCCGGCCUGAGAGGGUGACCGGCCACACUGGGACUGAGAUACGGCCCAGACUCCUACGGGAGGCAGCAGUGGGGAAUAUUGCACAAUGGGCGCAAGCCUGAUGCAGCGACGCCGCGUGAGGGAUGACGGCCUUCGGGUUGUAAACCUCUUUCAGUAGGGACGAAGCGAAAGUGACGGUACCUACAGAAGAAGGACCGGCCAACUACGUGCCAGCAGCCGCGGUAAUACGUAGGGUCCGAGCGUUGUCCGGAAUUACUGGGCGUAAAGAGCUCGUAGGUGGUUUGUCGCGUUGUUCGUGAAAACUCACAGCUUAACUGUGGGCGUGCGGGCGAUACGGGCAGACUAGAGUACUGCAGGGGAGACUGGAAUUCCUGGUGUAGCGGUGGAAUGCGCAGAUAUCAGGAGGAACACCGGUGGCGAAGGCGGGUCUCUGGGCAGUAACUGACGCUGAGGAGCGAAAGCGUGGGUAGCGAACAGGAUUAGAUACCCUGGUAGUCCAA
rnacentral:rRNA from 1 species